rnacentral:rRNA from 1 species
AUGCUGACAUGAGUAGCGAUAAAGAGGGUGAGAUGCCCUCUCGCCGAAAGACCAAGGGUUCCUGCUCAACGCUAAUCGGAGCAGGGUAAGCCGGCCCCUAAGACGAGCCCGAAGGGGGUAGUCGAUGGGAACCACGUUAAUAUUCGUGGGCCUGGUGGUAGUGACGGAUCUCGUGUGUUGUAUCUCCUUACUGGAUUGGAGGUGCAGCGAAGAGGUUCCAGGAAAUAGCUCCACCGUAUAGACCGUACCCGAAACCGACACAGGUGGUCAGGUA